UACGUAGGGUGCGAGCGUUAAUCGGAAUUACUGGGCGUAAAGCGUGCGCAGGCGGUUCUCCAAGUCCGUUGUGAAGGCCCCGGGCUCAACCUGGGAAUGGCAGUGGAAACUAGGGGACUGGAAUCUGGCAGAGGGGGGUGGAAUGCCGCGUGUAGCAGUGAAAUGCGUAGAGAUGCGGCGGAACACCGAUGGCGAAGGCAGCCCCCUGGGCUGAGAUUGACGCUCAGGCACGAAAGCGUGGGGAGCAAACAGGA
rnacentral:rRNA from 1 species